rnacentral:rRNA from 1 species
GUCCACGCCGUAAACGAUGGUCACUCGAUAUCAGCGAUAUACAGUUGGUGUCUAAGCGAAAGUGAUAAGUGACCCACCUGGGGAGUACGAUCGCAAGGUUGAAACUCAAAGGAAUUGACGGGGGCCCGCACAAGCGGUGGAGCAUGUGGUUUAAUUCGAUGAUACGCGAGGAACCUUACCAGGGCUUAAAUGGUAGAUGAAUAAUCUGGAAACAGAUUAGCCUUCGGGCAUCUUCCAAGGUGC